rnacentral:rRNA from 1 species
UACGUAGGGGGCAAGCGUUGUCCGGAAUCAUUGGGCGUAAAGCGCGCGUAGGUGGCUAUGUAAGUCCGUUGUGAAAGUCAAAGGCUCAACCUUUGAAAGCCGAUGGAUACUGCAUAGCUAGAGUACGGAAGAGGCGAGUGGAAUUCCUGGUGUAGCGGUGGAAUGCGCAGAUAUCAGGAGGAACACCAAUAGCGAAGGCAGCUCGCUGGGACGUUACUGACACUGAGGCGCGAAAGCGUGGGGAGCGAACAGG